rnacentral:misc_RNA from 1 species
GAUGAAGAACGUAGCGAAAUGCGAUAAGUAGUGUGAAUUGCAGAAUUUAGUGAAUCAUCGAAUCUUUGAACGCACAUUGCGCCCUAUAGUAUUCUGUAGGGCAUGCCUGUUCGAGCGUUAUUGAGACCUCAAGCUCUGCUUGGAAAUGGGCGCUUGUCUUGCCUUGCAGACUCGCCUUAAAACCAUUGGCAGCUGAUUUACUAUGUUUGGUGCACAGUACAUGAGCCCAAGUGUUGCAAUGAGUGGCCCAAAAGUAUACAAUAGAAGCUUAACCUCGGAUCAGGUAGGGAUACCCGCUGAACUUAAGCAUAUCAAUAAGCGGAGGA